AAAAAGGCAAACCCUGGGUUUCCGUGUCCAACUUUAACUGUCCGUCUUAUAUGAUUUUUUUUAUAAUUCGUGUUUUUAUUGUUGUUAGAUGAUAAAACAUGAUUAAUACUUUGUGCGUGACUUAUCUUUUUAAUUUUUUUCAUAAUUUUUUCAAGUAAGACGGACGGUCAAACAUUGGACACAGAAACCAGGGUUUGUCUUUUU
rnacentral:pre_miRNA from 1 species